GCGACCGUACAGCGUUGGAAAAACCGGUUCUCGUUUGAUCACUGAAGUUAAGCAGCGUCGGGCCCGGUUAGUACUUGCAUGAGUGACCGGCUGGGAAUGCCAUCUAUUGCGAUCGUU
rnacentral:rRNA from 1 species